rnacentral:rRNA from 1 species
ACUGAGCGAAGGGGAGUGGCGAACGGGUGAGUAACGCGUAGGAAUCUGCUCUUUAGUGUGGAAUAACUCAUUGAAAGAUGAGCUAAUACCGCAUAAUUAGUAACCUCAUUAGAGGAUUACUUUAAAGGAAUUACUUAGGUAAUUUCGCUAAAGAAGGAGCCUGCGUCCUAUCAGCUUGUUGGUGAGGUAAAAGCUUACCAAGGCUAUGACGGGUAGGGGGUGUGAGAGCAUGGCCCCCCACAGUGGCACUGAGACACGGGCCACACACCUACGGGUGGCAGCAAUUAGGAAUCUUGCGCAAUGGGCGAAAGCCUGACGCAGCGAUGUCGCGUGGAGGAUGAAUGUCGAAAGAUUGUAAACUCCUUUUAUCUACUAUUAUGGUAGAAGAAUAAGCACCUGCUAACUGCGUGCCAGAAGCAUCGGUCAUACGUGGGGUGCAAGCGUUACCCGGAAUCAUUGGGCGUAAAGGGUUAGGUAGGCGGUUCAUUAAGUUUCUAGUUAAAGCUCUCGACUCAAUCGAGAAAAUGCUAGGAAUACUGAUAGACUGGAGGAAGAGAGAGGAAAGUGGAAUUUGUGGAGUAGGGGUAAAAUCCGUUGAUCUCACAAGGAACACCAAAUGCGAAGGCAGCUUUCUGGCUCUUUCCUGACGCUGAUCUACGAAAGCUAGGGGAGCGAAAGGGAUUAGAUACCCCUGUAGUCCUAGCUGUAAACGAUCCUCGCUAGAUUUGUGGACGUAACUUUUGUUACUUCUGCGAGUCGUAGUUAACACGAUAAGCGGGGCGCCUGGGGAGUACGGUCGCAAGGCUGAAACUCAAAGGAAUUGGCGGGAGAACGCACAAGCGGUGGAGCGCGUGGUUUAAUUGGAUGAUGAGCCAAGAACCUUACCAGCGCUUGACAUACUAGUAGUAGGAACCAGAGAUGGCAACGAUUCUAUUUAUAGAAAGCUAGUACAGGUGUUGCAUGGCUGUCGUCAGCUCGUGCGGUGACGCGUAGGGUUAAGUCCUACAACGAGCGCAACCCAUAUCGUUAGUUGUAUCACUCUAACGAGACUGCCUCAGUAAUGGGGAGGAAGGUGUGGAUGACGUCUAGUCCUCAUUGCCCUUAUGUCCUGGGCGACACACGCGCUACAAUGGCUGGUACAAUAGGUCGCGACCCCGUGAGGGUGAGCUAAUCCUCAAAGCCAGCCCUAGUUCAGAUUGAAGUCUGAAAUUCGACUUCAUGAAGCCGGAAUCGCUAGUAAUCGCGAAUCAGCCACGUCGCGGUGAAUACGUUCUCGUUCUUUGCACACACCGCCCGUCAGUUAGAGAAAGUUGGGGGUGGCCGAAGCCUUGCCUAGUGUGAGGUUAAGCCAAAACCAGUGAUUUCUGAUAAGUCGUAACAAGGU